AAAAUGUGAUAAUCAUUGUGAAUUGCAGAAUUCAGUGAAUCAAUAGAACGCUCAACGCACACGGCACUGUAGCUUGCUACAGUAGGUCUGUUUCAGAGUCAUUUGCAAUCUCCCUAAGCAAUACUUGUAUUACUUGAGGAGGCAAGGUGCUGCUCGAUGUAAAUUUGGCAGUCGCAGAGUUCUGUGAUAGUUCAACUUCAAACAUGUUUGAUGACGUUGUUGAAGUUGUGCGUUACGUCACAGCAUACUAUUCUACAUGACCUGAAAUCAGUCCAGGCUACCCGCUGAACUUAA
rnacentral:misc_RNA from 1 species